CCGCGGCUCGGUUUCCGCUGCAGAGCGAACAGAGGGAGCUUCAAAGAGGCAGCAGCCUGUCCGCCCAGAGAGGAGAGCAGCAGUCCGGCUGUGAUGCUAGCGCGGGAGUGCGGGCCGAGCAGCAGUCUGAUGGGAUAAAAUCUUUCGCUCUCAUUUAACCUCUCUCUGUGUCCCUCUGUCUCUCUGUGUGUGUUUCGCGAGCUCCGAGAAAUGCUCUUGUAGCGCGAGCGCGAGUGAUAAAUUUGUAGCUUCUCAGAAAUUCUUCCAACUUGGAGCAAGUUUUCUUCUUUUUUUCUGUUUUUUAAGAACUUGAACCACAUUCGAAUUGUUCAUUUGGAGCAACCAAAAGCCACAGGACGAGAUGGAGAGCGAAAAGUACUUACCGGAGCUUAUGGCAGAGAAGGACACGCUGGAUCCGUCUUUUCAGCACUCCCUGCGGCUACUGGAUCAAGAAAUUGAAAAAAUUCAGAAAGAUGAGGGGAAGGAAGAGGAGAAGUUCAUCGACGUCGUCAUCAACAAGAACAUGAAACUGGGCCAGAAAGUUUUAAUACCAGUCAAGCAGUUUCCUAAAUUUAACUUUGUCGGCAAACUCCUCGGGCCACGCGGGAACUCGUUAAAGAGACUACAGGAGGACACUCUCACAAAGAUGUCAAUUCUUGGAAAAGGAUCCAUGAGAGACAAAGAAAAGGAAGAAGAGCUACGGCAGAGCGGCGAGGCCAAAUAUCACCACCUGAACGAAGACCUGCACGUCCUCAUCGAGGUGUUUGCCCCACCGGCUGAGGCCUAUGCCAGGAUGGGUCACGCUCUGGAGGAGAUCAAAAAGUUUCUCAUACCAGAUUACAAUGAUGAGAUCAGACAGGCCCAGCUGCAGGAGCUCACAUACCUGAACGGCGGAUCGGAGGAUGCCAAGGUGCCAUCGGUGAGGGGCAAGUCAGCCGCCCGUGGAAGAGGGACACCUGUUCCAGGGCCUCCCAGGAGUCGCGGUGGAGUUCCUCCCCUGCAUGCAGCGGUACCUCGAGGAGCAGCACCCAGAGGGGCCCCACCCAGCCGUGCUCCAUCCUCCAGAGGGAGGGGGGUGCAGAGAGCCCGAGGUGCUCCCCCAACUGCAGGUUACAGGCCGGCUCCUCCCAUAGUCCAGGACACAUACGGCGAAUAUGAAUACGACGACGGCUACGGAACAGCUUAUGAUGACCAGGGAUAUGAAUCAUAUGACAACAACUACACUAACCAAGGACAAAACUCAGAUGACUACUAUGAAUACGGACACAGUGGGGAAUCAUACGAUUCGUACGGUCAGGAAGAGUGGGCAAACAAUCGCGGCAAGGCUCCGUCAGCACGAACAGCCAAGGGAGUGUACAGAGAUCAGCCAUACUCCAGAUAUUGAACUGUUUAUACAACCUGCACCUGAGUCCUCAUGGCUGUUUCAACCCAAGUCGAAGUCCUGGCUACACAGCUCCGUCCAUCCAAUCAUCUCACUUCUGCUAAAGACUUGAUGACCCACGGAAGUUUCCCUCCAAACAUUCAAGCCCGCUCAAUGUCAAACCAAAUCCUGAUGAAAAAAUCCCAUCCAGCUUCAAGGAUCUGCCCUCGGCCAAACAGAGGACUUUCAAAUUUCCACAGUCUGGACUGAGGUGGAGUGACCUGUUGAGAUGCAGAAAAGGGGGUGAAAGAUAAUGCAUGUAUCACACGUUAUCAUUCUCUGGAGAAAAAAAAAAGGAGGAGGGGGGAGGAAAAUCGCGAGGUAAAUGGAGUUCCUCAUCCUCUGGGACGAUCUGUAGGAGAACAUUUCCUUCAGAGCUUCACCAGCGCUGUAUACAUUUUACAUACCGACUGUGAAGCUGACCUGCGUCUUUCUCGAUUCAGACUGCUGUUGGAGGCGAUGUGUCUACCUCUUACAUUAGACAUUACCUGUCAUCUCCUUGGAGGGAUGAGUAAAUAAAUAAUGUGUUAUGCUAAGGGAAGGGCAUCAUAAUUCUAACAAAGGCACUGUAUUCUCAUACUUUUGUGCUCAUCAACCUAUAUCAACUACGCUCCGAUGAAUAAAUAAUUCACAAAGUGCCUUAUCGUCGCAUUGUUAUGACAGUUUUAGAUGUUUAGUUCCACUAUUGGACUUAAAAUAUGGGGCAGUACACGAAGAAAGGUAGUUUUUUUCCCCUCUUCUAUGUUCUUUCCCUGCACACCAUUACUAUGAUGCUGGAAAAUGCCCCCCAGCUUCACACAAGAGUACAGUCUAGCCCAGAUGUAUUGCUUAAUCAGAAUCGACUUCAGUGGAUAUUACAAUUCCAAAAUAGCUUGCUAUCGGAUAGAGAGCUUCAUUCUGUCUUGUGCAUAAGUCCAGAUAGGCUGAUCCGUAUUCCGCACAGUUGUAUGUCCUCAGUGGCAGACAAUAGUUUUCCAUUAGAGGAAGUGAUUCUCUCUGGAGCUCCGGGCCAAGCCUCAGACAAUAAGACAGCGACCUAAAGCUCACAUCUCCAGCUCCCAGAGUCAACUCUCAUCACCUCGGGGGCUGAUUCCCACUCUAAAGUGGCUUAAAGUGACAGGCUUAUCUGAAGUAAGCUUGUCCAAGUUAAUAAAGGAAGAGCAGCUUAUUUGAUUAAGAAUGCAUACAAAGGAGGAUGUAGUGAUCUGUCACUGGGAGACAAGUCAAUUUCGACGCUAGAAUACAGAUCUACGGGUUCCAAACAGUGGACACGGAAACAAUGGAAGAUCUAAAGCAAAACCAGGGGUAGCUCAGCCAGCCUCUUACUAUGAGUGGUGUAGUCCUUUAUAGCUCACUAUGUUCUGCUAAAAUUAGAACACUUUUGAUGGUUUCAAAUAAGGAAAUUCAGUGUUUGUCUAUUUGUUUUAAGUGGGUGUGGCUUCUCGUCAGAGUAGCAACAUUUGAGCGAAAAUGUGACCUCUUGUGAGGGUUGUUUGACUUUCUAGAAUUGUUUGAUCAAACCACACCCACACAGUAGCCAGUUGUAUGUAGCUAGCAAAAAGUUAGCUUAGCUUUAUGUAAAAAUGGAAAGAGCUAACCAGGGUCUCUUCACCAGUAAUAAAAUCUGCCUACCAGCACCUCUAAAGCUCAUUAACUCAACUCAUGUUGUCUGUCUAAUGCAUACAAAUAAGAACAAACAUCGCCAAUCUAGAUGCCACUAUGUGUGUGUUUUAUAAUGUGUUUCUAGCGUCCUUGGGCAUACUCGAAUGGAAUAAGUUUUUGUUUGCAGGGAAAUGAGAAAGACCAGAUAAAACUGUGCUGCUUCCAGCUUAUUUAUUCAUUGUCUCCACAACUAAAUAGACAAAUUGUAGAAUUCUGUCCAUAUUGGUUGCAAAGUUCCUCUAUGUUGUUGAUCAAACUCCGAAAAAAAACAAUAUCUGUGCGCAUACAAGUUUGCUGCUUUUGGUUUUGGGUUGUUUUGUUUUUUAAAUAAUCCCUUCCAGCCUUAAAAUAACCAAGAUGUAGCUCCACGUUGUGGCUUCCUUUAGAAUGUACAAGUUCCUCAAGUCCCCACCUCAUUCUCCACGAACACCUCAAAACUUGUUACAUCUCAAGCACACCAGCUCACCUGUAAUUCGACUCAAACACUGUAAAGCUACUAAGCAAGUUGUAUUCGUGGAGUAAUUCAGCCAUACAUGUUCAAGCCAGAACCUGAAAUUAGUCAGAAAGCCUCCUUGUACAAGUAGACAGGAUCAGUUUUUUAUGUUGUGCUGUCAUCUGUACGCUGCUGUUUCAAAGUAGAUACUCAGGCAUGCCACUGACUGCUUAUUUCAUUCAUGAAUUUUGUUUGAGUAGAUAGAAAAUAUCACCUUGACCUGAUCACAAACUAAAACUAGAAAAGCACUCAGCCAACGCUGUACUCCACCAAGGCUGUUCAUUCCCCCAUAUGGCAUUGUCUGAAAUGUAGCAUUUUUUGUAGAAAUGCAGCAUUUGUUUCUUAGUUAUUGAUGAUCAGAAAACAUAGGAUGUGGCCAUUUAAUAUAGAUGUAUCCACAAGCUAAAUGACCUUGCGUUGAGCACAGGUUAUGCAUGUGUACAUUAUAUACGGAUAUCGAAUCAUGUGAUCUAAAUAUGUACACCCCCACAAUUUAAUCAAUUGUUCCUUGUAUCAUUUCUGACGGAUUAGUCCUGAUAAGUCUGCAGCAGUCAAUUGCAAUCAUGUGAUUGUCACAGGUAGUUGACGUAGCAUUCACUUGUUGUCAUAGUUAGUGACGCCAUGCCACUAUCUCAAUGAUACAGAAAUCUUUAACAAAUCCGUGAAUCCAGACUGUCGCAUCACUGCCAAAAUCAAAUCACUUGGUUCUUGUGCAACUUCUGACCUUCCACGAAAAUUUCAUUCAAAUCCGUUUGUCCAUUUUUGAGUAAUGUUGCUGACAGACAGACAAACAUACACUGAUUGUCACAUAACUCCACUGCAUUCCUUGGGGGAGUAAUAAAUUUAAUUUUCACAGAUGGGAGUCCUUAAUUACAUUCCCUGAAAAGCAAAUACAGGAGUAGACUUUGUUGGGAAGAUCAAACCAGUUUUACUGCCCUACAUAUGUAGUGGUCACUUCUGGCAGCUCUGAAAGAAGGAAAAAACUAAACAAAACCUGAGGCUUUUUGAUUCUGUGAAGUGUGCUUUUCUACUAGUAUUCCUCUUAAUCAUGUCGGGGAUCUAAAGCGGCCGCCUCUUGCCGUUUGUUCUGUAAUUAACUGGAGGGCUCUUAAUCUUAGCGAGAUUAAAAUGCCCUGAUCAAUGCUGAAGUGUCCCUGUGUCUCCUUUGGAGCGAAUGGUAAUGCGACCACGGGUCAGUGUGUGUCGCCUGCUAAGUGGAUGCUCAGAUUGAGAAGGAUCGAUCAUCGCAGGUCUUUCAGGGCUGAAAAACAGCCAAGACAGAGAGGAUGGAGAUCUUUUCAAUCUAAAAUAUGCUCAAAGAAAAUGUCAUUAUGUGGGAAAUAUAAUUUCAUUUUUGUAAUUAGCAUUUUAUUCAAAGCUGAGAACAAGAUGUGGGGGGGGGGGCAAGCGAAGGAAAUUAAAGCAAGGUUAUCAGAACGGAGAGAAAAAAUUCUUAUUAAAAGUAAAUCACAGGUAGACAAAGGUGAAGAAAAAAGAAAAGAAAGAAACAUUAACAAUGAAGGAGACUGUCACCAAACAUGGAAAGUGUUUGCAAGGAAAAGCACAGACGGGAAAUAUUCUAUACAAAUGUAUGCAAAGUCAAUAUAUGCUUGUAAUUGUGCAUAUUGUACAUUAUGUAUCAUUUUAUUGUGCUGUCGUGCAUUGAAAGCAUUCCAAGGUCCGUGUUGAGGUUGUAGAGAUGCUCAUUGGUAAUAAAGUUCUCCUCUUGUUGAUAAAAAGCA